CUACGGGUUGCUCCAGUCGAGAAUCUUCCGCAAUGGGCGCAAGCCUGACGGAGCGACGCCGCGUGAGGGACGAAGGCUUUCGGGUCGUAACCUCUUUCGCCUGUUAAGAAUUGUUAUGGGUUAAUAGCCUGUAUCUUGACAAAGGCAGGUAAAGAAGCACCGGCUAACUCCGUGCCAGCAGCCGCGGUAAGACGGAGGGUGCAAGCGUUACUCGGAAUCACUGGGCGUAAAGCGUACGUAGGCGGCUUGUCAAGUUGGAUGUGAAAUCCCACAGCUUAACUGUGGAACUGCGUCCAAAACUGGCGAGCUCGAGAACAGUAGGGGACAGUGGAACUCAAGGUGGAGCGGUGGAAUGCGUAGAGAUCUUGAGGAACACCGGUGGCGAAAGCGACUGUCUGGGCUGUUUCUGACGCUGAGGUACGAAAGCCAGGGGAGCGAACGGGAUUAGAUACCCCCGUAGUC
rnacentral:rRNA from 1 species